GAUGAACGCUGGCGGCAUGCCUAACACAUGCAAGUCGAACGAAGCAUCUUGGAAUGAGACUUCGGUUGAAUGAAGAGAUGACUUAGUGGCGGACGGGUGAGUAACGCGUGAGUAAUCUGCCUUAGAGUGGGGGAUAACGCUCCGAAAGGAACGCUAAUACCGCAUAACAUAACUUGAAGGCAUCUUCGAGUUAUCAAAGAUUUAUUGCUUUAAGAUGAGCUCGCGUAUGAUUAGCUAGUUGGUGAGGUAACGGCUCACCAAGGCGACGAUCAUUAGCCGGACUGAGAGGUUGAACGGCCACAUUGGGACUGAGACACGGCCCAG
rnacentral:rRNA from 1 species